GUUCAGAUAAGUCCUGGCAAGAGAGCCAAUAGCAGCACAUGCAAGCACCGCCUCUUGUGGAGUUGCGCGCGAGGCCACUGGAGCCUUUCAGAAGGAUGAAACAACUUUGCCCAAGGUCACAUAUCUGACGAAGGGCAGCGAGUCUGGAGCCAGCUCAUUGUAUCUGGAAGGCCGUGUACUUUCCACCCGGCCGCGCUAUCUCGCGUUCGUCCCGGAUUCCUUCGGAGCCACCUGUUCCCAUCCUCAUCCCCAACCCACGCGAAGAUAAAACAGGACUGACGCCCCAGGAACCAGAGAAUACACGGGAAAAAGAAAAAAGAAAAAAGCGCGCGCUCCUUGGCUCACCGAGCCCGCCACCACCACCACCACCCCUUCCAAGGAGGAGGGGGGAGAAGGAGGGAGCCGAUGCUCGGCUGCACUUCCUCCGCUCCCCUGCACCUGAGCGCCGUCGAAGCGGAUCCGCAGCGCGAUGCCAACCGCAAGCAGGUGCGCUCGGCCCCGCAGGACGCGUGCGCAGAGCCCCGCGGGACGCGCCCGCCGCCCCGCCCUGGGCGGCCGGGUGGAAUCCCUCCCAGCUGGGCAGGAAGGCAGUUGUUUGCUUCCUGGUGGAACGUUCCACUUGAAACGGUUCCACGAGGGCUGUUCUCGCCUCCGACUCCGGGAAGAACUGUAAUUAACACAGCAACAAACGCCCACGACGCUAACUGGCAAAGGGAGUGUAACACGAGCCCGCUGCUCCAACCGAAUUGGGCCAAUUGCUUUCCCUUCUUUGCCUCCCCGCUUGGUCUGUUUUGGUUCCGCACUCAUCCAACUGGAGCGUUUCUUAAAACAUGUCAGUGGCUGGUGUUUGUGUUUUGAGUUGAACGGUUUCACACCCGUCGCUGGAGAUGGGGCUCGGCAGGCUGCAGGGCUGGGGACUUGCUUUCUGCGAGCGUCGCGAGCGUCAGGUAGAAAAGUUCAGAGAGAGGCUAGAAGGAUGGCGAGGGAGGAGGAGACAGCGGGGCCUCACCGCCUCCAAUUGUCUGGAGUUGGUUCUGUCUCCUUCCGACCAAGACAAGUAGAACCGGUCUGCCCGCUCUCCAGCCGGAGAGGGUGGGGCGUCCCAACGCACCUGGCAGCCACUCUGGGCCUCGGGGACGCCGCACUGGGGCGGCUGAGGAAGGAACCCGGGGCGGACUCUCGAGUGGGAGGGAGGGGGUUCUGCAAACAGCACUCAGGUCUACAGGCUUGCCCUGCAGGGGCUGCGGUGGCCAGGGUCCAGGGACUGUUAUGACUCUUUGAUCUGUGUGUAAGGAUCUGAGUUGUGAUGCUUCGGUUUUAUUUAACUUUGCAUCUGCCAAGUGUGGUCCACUGCCCAGCAGCUUCUUGAGAACUGGUUUCAGACAGAAUCCCCACGCUGGCUGGCUAUAGACGCCUUUUCCUGGCUUCAGACUCCUUUAACAAGAUUCUUUGAUCAGCGACCUCUCUGUCAGCUUACUUGGUUCAACGGUUGACGAAAAGCAUCUGGAGCUGGGGCGCAGAACGCCUAGCAUGCCUGAAGCCUCAAGUUUGACGAUCCCCACCACAGCUUAAACCCGGUGUGGGAGUAGCCUAGCUACUCCCAUAAUCCCAGCACACCGGACAGAAUUGGAAGCUGGAAGAUCCAAAGUUCAAGGUCUCUGGCCGCACAAUAUAUCUUACUGAAUUUUUCAUUUGAGGAAAGCACCAGCUGGGGAAGCCAAACAUGGGCUAUUACAAAAUUCUGCAAGCAAAAUCAACCUAAAGGCUUACACUGCAGUGAUUCCAGCAGCAAGGACAUACAAAUCUAAUCCAUCAACACUGCCCCGGUCUCCCUUCUGUACUUUCAAUGAGUGCUUGUCUGAGUUCACUUAAGAAUCCAAACCAGAGCCUCCCAUGACUCCAUUUUCAAGUGAUUCUAUUCUGAGCAGAGCAGUAGAACUGGAGAUCCCUCCCUUUGCCAGAAUUCUGAGAGCAGUGCCAUUCCGUCACCAUGAACUUGCCUUCUGUGGGCAACCCAGCAUACCGAGCACCAUUUGUGGAGACCAUUGAAGGAGCUUGUGACUGGCUCAAGCCCCAGGAGUGGUGAACAGCAGAAAUCAGCAGCUGCACACUAGGGCCACGGAGGGUGGCCAGCUCCGCCUUUCUCCUCCGUGGCACCCAGAGCUGCCACGUGGGUGCCAGUUACUCACACCCUUAUUUAUGUCUUCCUUCUCAGUAAGCUCUGCAAACCAAGAUCGCUAAAAGUUGCCGUUAAGGCAAGGGUAAAGGUCCAUCCACCUACUCCAGGGGUUGAUGCGGAUUCACUGUGACAUGGGGCACUGGGAAAAGGACAAGGUGCUGCUGGAAGUCUGUCACCACCAUCACUGUCUUAAUCUUCGGGGAUAUUUAUUCUUCACCAGCCUGGCAGUAAUAAUGACAGCUAACAGUUGAUUGGAUAACAUACCCGGAGCUACUUAAAUCUCAAUGCUCAUAACACCACCUUCAAGCAGACAUUAUUCCACUGUUCACGGACCAUAAAACGGAGGCAUGAAGAGAUUAAGUAACUAACUGACUAGGAUGGAAACCUCAUUUCUCUGACCUCGGAGCCUAUUCAUCUAACCGUAUCUUAAUUAAAUAUACACAGUGUC